rnacentral:lncRNA from 1 species
AUGCAGUCUCAUUUGAUGAUAAGCAUCCAGCUUCUUGUUCUCUUUGCCAUCUGUCCUUCAAACCAGAUGUACGUGAUUUAUGAAAAGACUAUGUGGACUCAAUCCAGCUUUUCAUCUGCAGGCACUUGCCUAGAUAAAAUGAAUUGGCCAGCAGAGACCAAAAACACCUCCCAAGUACAGUUGUGCGCUACUUAUUUCAAUUACAGAUGUGAAGAAAGAGCGUUGGCGUCACAUAGAGAAGAAUUUUCGAAGGUCAUAUAA